rnacentral:rRNA from 1 species
UACGAAGGGGGCUAGCGUUGCUCGGAAUCACUGGGCGUAAAGGGUGCGUAGGCGGGUCUUUAAGUCAGGGGUGAAAUCCUGGAGCUCAACUCCAGAACUGCCUUUGAUACUGAGGAUCUUGAGUACGGGAGAGGUGAGUGGAACUGCGAGUGUAGAGGUGAAAUUCGUAGAUGUUCGCAAGAACACCAGUGGCGAAGGCGGCUCACUGGCCCGUAACUGACGCUGAGGCACGAAAGCGUGGGGAGCAAACAGG